rnacentral:rRNA from 1 species
CCCUUAGACGUUCUGGGCCGCACGCGCGCUACACUGACGGAGCCAGCGAGUAUAAACCUUGGCCGAGAGGUCUGGGAAAUCUUGUGAAACUCCGUCGUGCUGGGGAUAGAGCAUUGUAAUUAUUGCUCUUCAACGAGGAAUUCCAAGUAAGCGCAAGUCAUCAGCUUGCGUUGAUUACGUCCCUGCCCUUUGUACACACCGCCCGUCGCUACUACCGAUUGAAUGGCUUAGUGAGGCUUCCGGAUUGGUUUAGAGAAGGGGGCAACUCCAUCUUGGAACCGAGAAGCUAGUCAAACUUGGUCAUUUAGAGGAAGUAAAAGUCGUAACA